rnacentral:rRNA from 1 species
GCAAGCGUUAAUCGGAAUUACUGGGCGUAAAGCGUGCGCAGGCGGUGAUGUAAGACAGCUGUGAAAUCCCCGGGCUCAACCUGGGAACUGCAUCUGUGACUGCAUCGCUGGAGUGCGGCAGAGGGGGAUGGAAUUCCGCGUGUAGCAGUGAAAUGCGUAGAUAUGCGGAGGAACACCGAUGGCGAAGGCAAUCCCCUGGGCCUGCACUGACGCUCAUGCACGAAAGCGUGGGGAGCAAACAGG